rnacentral:misc_RNA from 1 species
AAGUCGUAACAAGGUUUCCGUAGGUGAACCUGCGGAAGGAUCAUUAAAGAAUAUCUCGAGCCUCACAGCUCUUAUUCUCACCCUUUGUAUACCAACUUGUUGCUUUGGCAGCGCCUUAGCCGCUGCCAGGAGACCGAAACCCUAGAAUCUCUGCCGUCUGAGUACUAUAUAAUAGUUAAAA